GUGAGUAACACGUGGGUGAUCUGCCCUGCACUUCGGGAUAAGCCUGGGAAACUGGGUCUAAUACCGGAUAUGACCACAGGCUGCAUGGCUUGUGGUGGAAAGGUUUACUGGUGCAGGAUGGGCCCGCGGCCUAUCAGCUUGUUGGUGGGGUAAUGGCCUACCAAGGCGACGACGGGUAGCCGACCUGAGAGGGUGACCGGCCACACUGGGACUGAGACACGGCCCAGACUCCUACGGGAGGCAGCAGUGGGGAAUAUUGCACAAUGGGCGAAAGCCUGAUGCAGCGACGCCGCGUGAGGGAUGAAGGCCUUCGGGUUGUAAACCUCUUUCAGCAGGGACGAAGCGCAAGUGACGGUACCUGCAGAAGAAGCACCGGCUAACUACGUGCCAGCAGCCGCGGUAAUACGUAGGGUGCGAGCGUUGUCCGGAAUUACUGGGCGUAAAGAGUUCGUAGGCGGUUUGUCGCGUCGUCUGUGAAAACCCAUCGCUCAACGAUGGGCCGGCAGGCGAUACGGGCAGACUUGAGUACUGCAGGGGAGACUGGAAUUCCUGGUGUAGCGGUGAAAUGCGCAGAUAUCAGGAGGAACACCGGUGGCGAAGGCGGGUCUCUGGGCAGUAACUGACGCUGAGGAACGAAAGCGUG
rnacentral:rRNA from 1 species